GACGAACGCUGGCGGCGUGCCUAAUACAUGCAAGUCGAGCGAAGAGAUUCUGGUCUUUCCACUAGAACAACUUAGGGGCGCGGGGGAGUGAAACACGUAAAGAACCUCUCUCAUAGUGUGAGAACAUCAUGGGAAAGGAUAGCUAAUACCAGAUAACAGCAUUACCUGCAGGGCAGUUGUUUAAAAGUUGGUUUUGCUAACAUUAUGAGAGGUCCUUGCGGUGCAUUAGCUAGUUGGUGGGGUAAAGGCCUACCAAGGCGACGAUGCAUAGCCGACCUGAGAGGGUGAUCGGCCACACUGGCACUGAGACACGGCCCAGACUCCUACGGGAGGCAGCAGUAGGGAAUCUUCCGCAAUGGGCGAAAGCCUGACGGAGCAACGCCGCGUGAGUGAUGAAGGAUUUCGGUUCGUAAAGCUCUGUUAUUAGGGAAGAAUAAAUGUGUAGUAACUAUUCACAGUAGAGACGGUACCUAACCAGAAAGCCACGGCUAACUACGUG
rnacentral:rRNA from 1 species